AUUUUCGCUUCCCCAGGUCGCGGCGGCGGGAGCAACAAGCGGCGGCUCGUGAGUCCGUGGCGCGCACCCAGGGGCGCCCGCACGUGCGGCUAGAACGUCCGAGUCGGGGUCCGGGGCGGGGGGCGCAGGCCCGCGGCGGUAGGGGAGGAGAGCGGGCACCCGAGUCUCCAUCCUCAGGGUGGCCUGAAGGUUCCAGGAGGGCGUCCGGCGAAGGCACGGGGCUGCGACCAUCCAGUUAGCGGGCUGGUGUGACCGUUUAGAGUAAAUGAAAAUUCGUUUUGUGACACUGACCACCUCCAAGGAAUGAAAGGAGCAGUCAGCCGAAACGACAGCAUUACUUGCGUCCUUACCUAAUUGGAACCUUAUCCGUGGCUGAGGGUGCCACCAUUGGAGGGGCCGCCGCCCCCUCUGACACCACCUGGCGCUCCGCUCCAUUUAGGAGCUAGAACGAAAAGGAGGCCCAUCCCCCAGUAAGUCACAGCCCACGCCAAGAUGAGUUCUGGAGCCUGUGCGACCGAAGUUUCUUCACCGCAGGGCCAGGUGGACGAGGGUGUGAGUUACUUUGACUUCAAGACGUCUCAGUGGCGGCUGAUUCUGGAGAGAGGCUUUAUGCUGGAGCACUUCCAGCAAAGUUCGGCUGGGGCCUCCUUAACUCACUGGCUGGUCACCCUUGGCCUCGGUUUUCAACCAAAGCCUAAGGCCUCAGUUUUCAACGCUGUAAAUGGAAAUAAAUGAGAGAAGAAGGUACAGCCCGUAUGACAAGUGCAGCAAGCAAUGCAACUUCCUUGGGACCUACCCUUUGAGGUCCCUUGCUUUAAAAGUAUAGAUUCACAUUUAGUUAGACCUGUUUCUUCCUCGCAUGCAAUUUCACCAGUCUUUUCCCAGACUUCUGUACUCGACAGAGGAAGUUCCUUCCUGGGAGACCAUAGCUGUUUGUAUGUAAAGAGUUGCCAAAAAACAAAAACAAAACAAAAAACUCCAACACCUCUCUGUCACAGAAGUAUUGAGUUAUAUAGACUGGAAAAAUGGAAGUAUCCAAGAAAACGCAUGUGGUAAGAAAAUGGCUAAGGUGCAGGAUUCUGUUUUGUGGCUCUGGUCUCAGAAAUAGACCUCACAUACACAUUAUUCCUUAUCCCCUCUAUUAUAAUACUCACUCUUUUUUUUUUAAGAGACAGGGUAGGCCGGGCGCGGUGGCUCAUGCCUGUAAUCCCAGCAUUUUGGGAGGCCAAGGCAGGAGGAUCACCUGAGGUCGGGAGUUUGUGACCAGCCUGACCAACAUGGAGAAACCCCAUCUCUACUAAAAAUACAAAAUUAGCCAGGUGUGGUGGUGCAUGCCUCUAAUCCCAGCUACUUGGGAGGCUGAGGCAGGAGAAUUGCUUGAACCCAGGAGGCGCAGGUUGUGGUGAGCCGAGAUUGUGCCAUUGCACUCCAGCCUGGGCAACAAGAGCGAAACUCUGUCUCAAAAAAAAAAAAAAAAAAGAGAGGGUCUUGCUCUGUCACUCAGGUUGUGCUAUCAUAGCUUACUGUAACCUUGAACUCCUGGCCUUAAGCGAUCCUCCUGCUUCAACCUCCCAAGUAGCUGGGACUACAGGCCUGUGACAGUGCCUGGCCCAGGCACUGACUUUCUUAUGUCAUAUAGCAAUGACCACUAAGGGAAAGUCUAUACAAACUAUAGAAUAGUUGUCAUUCUUUACCCAACCUGGGGACACAAGUUAAAAACCUAGUAUUCAUUUUUUUUUUUUCCUGUACCAAAACAAUCAUCUUCCUUUAUUUUUCCUGGAGCGGGAAGAGGAGAGUGGAGAAGAAGGGAAGAAUGCAAAGUGUCACUUUGAACUUCUCAUUCACCACACACGUGGGAGUCCACUCAUGUCAGCAGCCUCCGUGCACAGGCCCCAGGUGAAAGAAAUAAUGAGGCCUAGUUGUACCAGCUAACACUGCCUGCCUUGUGUUUACGAAAGGCAGCUGCCUCUGUGGUGUGAUUUCAGGGGAGCCAGACAGGGCUGGGGCCACGAACCUGCAUCCUGCAUCCUAACCACCUAUUGCCAUGCGUGAGGCUAACUGGAAACUCACUUGCUGGGUGCAGAUAGCUUCCAAACUAUUGUGAUGCUCAUGCUUGACUUCCCAAGGAACGUGUUUCAGGAAAGGCCAUUGCCCUAAUUAUGGUCUUUGAUAAGCAGGAAGAAGUUUGUUGUUCCUUUUUUUUCUUAAUGCCCUACUUCGUGCAACAUACAUCCAAUCAGUCAUAUCCUAUUGACACUACCCCUAAAUAUCUCUGGGCCUGGCCCGUGCUCAGGGCACUGCCUUCAUUCAGUUACUGCACUUGCCUGCUGCCUGUGCUCUUGGUCUCCUGCUUGGACUCCCCCAGGCCAGCAGCCACACUACUGCCAAAAUCCAGUCGAAAAUUAACUUCAGGUAAAGCACAAUUCCAAACCUAACACUGCCCCCCUCAAAAGCCUCUCUGUAGUCUUCAGAAUAAAGACCAUAUUAUUUGACAAGACA
rnacentral:lncRNA from 1 species